CUCCUAGUAGCUCAAUUGGUAGAGCGUUUGUCUUCGGAACAAAAGGUUGUGGGUUCAAUUCCUAUCUAGGGGG
rnacentral:tRNA from 2 species